AGGGGAACAUCUGCCUGGACAUCCUGAAGGACAAGUGGUCUGCCCUGUAUGAUGUCAGGACCAUCCUGCUGUCCAUCCAGAGCCUGCUAGGAGAACCAAACAUUGAUAGUCCUUUGAACACGCAUGCUGCCGAGCUCUGGAAAAACCCCACAGCCUUUAAGAAGUAUCUGCAAGAAACCUACUCAAAGCAGGUCUCCAGCCAAGAUCCCU